UGUUUUGAAGGAAACCGCCUGUACGCUGACUCUGUAAACCGGAAGAAACAUGAACUAACGCUUCCUUUUUGUUCCGUUCUCGAUGUUAACGUCACCGCGGCUUUUUAGAAGCAAUUAGAAUAUCUGUGGCACCUACAGUACUGAAGGUCAAGAGGUGUCUGGAGCUAAUCUCUUUGGGGUGUCAGAAGAACAGAGAUGACCUGGCUGGAACCUGUUCACAGACAGAUGCAGAGGAGAACAUGCAGACCUGAUGCAUGUACCUACAUGUGUAUCUUCAGCCCAUAUAGUAAUAAUGCCUUGAAGAUGGCUGUUGUGUGCUUGCAUGCUUGCUGGCCAUCUCUCACCACCAGGCAAUGCCAGGACCAAUGACUGCUUUGAGAUAUACAAGAAGUGUUGUUAAUGAUGGUGACAUAAACACUGACACUUUGGCGUCAGUUUGUAAUACUUACGAUUAAAUAAAAUUAAUGUUCUACUGGAAAUGUAGCUUCUUUUUGCUUCCUUUCUGGAGUAAAAUAAAACAUUCAAAGCAGGCUUGAAGGCUUGGACUGAAAGAGUGAGAAGUGCAUGUUGAAAGACAGUGUUACAAGGAGACAUGGAGGGGCUGAAUGAAAGUCCUUGUCUCCUCUCUGAGCCCACCUCUCUUGCAUUUUCACUCUGCUCCGAAACUCUGACGUCCAAUGAAGGAUUUAUCUAUGUCACUGUGACCUCACUGAUACUCUGCUCUGCAGUUUGGGAUGAUUAUAAUACAAGAUGAAACAGCUUUGAAGACUAAAAUACUUGUAUUUACUCCUAACAUCUGUGCACAUUUGAUAAUAUGUAAACAGACACAAGUCAGCCAUGCCUUUCUUCCCUCUGUGGUGAGCUGUUACUCAUCACCCAGUCUGCUAGUCUGGUCCACAUAGCCUCCCAGGAAUGCUUCAAAAACACAGUACCUCAUACAGUAAA